rnacentral:rRNA from 1 species
UGGGGAAUAUUGCACAAUGGGCGAAAGCCUGAUGCAGCGACGCCGCGUGAGGGAUGACGGCCUUCGGGUUGUAAACCUCUUUCAGCAGGACGAAGCGCAAGUGACGGUACCUGCAGAAGAAGCACCGGCUAACUACGUGCCAGCAGCCGCGGUAAUACGUAGGGUGCAAGCGUUGUCCGGAAUUACUGGGCGUAAAGAGUUCGUAGGCGGUUUGUCGCGUCGUUUGUGAAAACCAGCAGCUCAACUGCUGGCUUGCAGGCGAUACGGGCAGACUUGAGUACUGCAGGGGAGACUGGAAUUCCUGGUGUAGCGGUGAAAUGCGCAGAUAUCAGGAGGAACACCGGUGGCGAAGGCGGGUCUCUGGGCAGUAACUGACGCUGAGGAACGAAAGCGUGGGUAGCGAACAGG